UCAUAUUCUCUGUAAUGUAUGUAAUGUACUACAGAAGAGUUCCGCAGAGUAGCUGUUGACAUUAUAGUUGCGCAGGCAAUUUGUUGACUAUAGAGAACCUUGGGCCAAUCGCACAUCCCCGUGGCGGCGACUUUGCAUGCGGAUGUCAUCCAUAUUUUGAUGCCAUUUUCUGCGCUUACCAUGGUGACCACGGGUAACGGGGAAUCAGGGUUCCAUUUCGUACAGGGACCCUGAGGAACAGCUACCACAUCCAAGGAAGGCAGCAGGCGCGCAAAUGACCCAUUCCCGACGCGGGAAGGUAGUGAUGA